UACGGAGGGUGCAAGCGUUAUCCGGAUUCACUGGGUUUAAAGGGUGCGUAGGUGGGUCUGUAAGUCAGUGGUGAAAUCCCCGAGCUUAACUUGGGAACUGCCAUUGAUACUAUAGCUCUUGAAUACUGUGGAGGUCAGCGGAAUAUGUCAUGUAGCGGUGAAAUGCUUAGAUAUGACAUAGAACACCAAUUGCGAAGGCAGCUGGCUACACAAAUAUUGACACUGAGGCACGAAAGCGUGGGGAUCAAACAG
rnacentral:rRNA from 1 species